rnacentral:rRNA from 1 species
UACGAAGGGGGCUAGCGUUGCUCGGAAUCACUGGGCGUAAAGGGUGCGUAGGCGGGUCUUUAAGUCAGGGGUGAAAUCCUGGAGCUCAACUCCAGAACUGCCUUUGAUACUGAAGAUCUUGAGUCCGGGAGAGGUGAGUGGAACUGCGAGUGUAGAGGUGGAAUUCGUAGAUAUUAGGAAGAACACCAGUGGCGAAGGCGGCUCACUGGUCCGGUACUGACGCUGAGGUGCGAAAGCGUGGGGAGCAAACAGG